CGACCGCGACCCCAGGUCAGACGGGACUACCCGCUGAGUUUAAGCAUAUCAAUAAGCGGUGGAGAAGAAACUUACAAGGAUUCCCCUAG
rnacentral:rRNA from 1 species